UACGGGAGGCAGCAGUGGGGAAUAUUGCACAAUGGGCGCAAGCCUGAUGCAGCCAUGCCGCGUGUAUGAAGAAGGCCUUCGGGUUGUAAAGUACUUUCAGCAGUGAGGAAGGUGGGUAUGUUAAUAGCAUACUCAUUUGACGUUAGCUGCAGAAGAAGCACCGGCUAACUCCGUGCCAGCAGCCGCGGUAAUACGGAGGGUGCGAGCGUUAAUCGGAAUUACGUGGGCGUAAAGCGCAUGCAGGUGGUUUGUUAAGUCAGAUGUGAAAGCCCGGGGCUCAACCUCGGAAUUGCAUUUAGAAACUGGACAAACUAGAGUACUGUAGAGGGGGUAGAAUUUCAGGUGUAGCGGUGAAAAUGCGUAGAGAUCUGAAGGAAUACCGGUGGCGAAGGCGGCCCCCUGGACAGAUACUGACACUCAGAUGCGAAAGCGUGGGGAGCAAACAGGAUUAUAUACCCUGGUAG
rnacentral:rRNA from 1 species